rnacentral:rRNA from 2 species
UUCCGUAGGUGAACCUGCGGAGGGAUCAUUACCGAGUUUACAACUCCCAAACCCCUGUGAACAUACCAAUUGUUGCCUCGGCGGAUCAGCCCGCUCCCGGUAAAACGGGACGGCCCGCCAGAGGACCCCUAAACUCUGUUUCUAUAUGUAACUUCUGAGUAAAACCAUAAAUAAAUCAAAACUUUCAACAACGGAUCUCUUGGUUCUGGCAUCGAUGAAGAACGCAGCAAAAUGCGAUAAGUAAUGUGAAUUGCAGAAUUCAGUGAAUCAUCGAAUCUUUGAACGCACAUUGCGCCCGCCAGUAUUCUGGCGGGCAUGCCUGUUCGAGCGUCAUUUCAACCCUCAAGCCCUCGGGUUUGGUGUUGGGGAUCGGCGAGCCCUUGCGGCAAGCCGGCCCCGAAAUCUAGUGGCGGUCUCGCUGCAGCUUCCAUUGCGUAGUAGUAAAACCCUCGCAACUGGUACGCGGCGCGGCCAAGCCGUUAAACCCCCAACUUCUGAAUGUUGACCUCGGAUCAGGUAGGAAUACCCGCUGAACUUAAGCAUAUCAAUAAGCGGAGGAA